rnacentral:rRNA from 1 species
UACGGGGGGAGGCAAGCGUUGUUCGGAUUUACUGGGCGUAAAGGGCGCGUAGCGGCGCAACAAGUCACUUGUGAAAUCUCCGGGCUUAACCCGGAGCGGUCAAGUGAUACUGUCGUGCUAGAGUGCGGAAGGGGCUACUGGAAUUCUCGGUGUAGCGGUGAAAUGCGUAGAUAUCGGAGAGGAACACCUGGCGGCGAAGGCGGGUAGCUGGGCCGACACGUGACGCUGAUGCGCGAAAGCCAGGGGAGCGAACGGG